CGGAGGGAAGAGGGGGAGGGAGUUUCUGGUUUUGCAUGAAGAAGCAGAACAUGAUGAAGCAUUUUUCCCCCAUCUAAAGAUCCAGUCGUGCUCCAGUUUGCAGAGGGCAAGGGGCUGGUUGCAGGUGGUGCUGGGAGGAUGGAGGCAUAUACCCAUCUGCUGUGUGGCUGGACCAUGUGGGUAAACUCUCCGGAGGCCUGCGUGAGCUAAGGGGGAUGCUCCAUCCCAUGCGCAGUGGAGCCUGCCUCCAUGGGCCCUGCUGGCCUUCAUGGCACCACCUCUCCCAUAGACAUCAGAGCUCCGGUGCCAGCGCUUCCCCCCACAGACCCACUCGGUGGUGCCCAGCCAGGCUACCCUGCACAGCAUCCCACUCAUCUAUGCCAGAGUGAUGGCUGCUCAGCUAGCCACGAGAGGGUAGCACACCCUCUGCCCAUCCUGCAACAUGUCUGAAGCCCACGUAGACCCCUUCAUCUCAUGGACACUACAUUAAGCUCACGCACAAGCACCUGGGCUUCAGUGGGAGCUUAUUUGGCCUCCCCAGGAUGGACUGGAGCAUCAGUAGUGCCCGGGUUCAUCACAGGACAGAUACUCAAGACACUCUUAUCACCAUUAGGUGGACUUGGAGGAGCAAAAAACGAGCGCAGUGGCUCCUCAGUAGAGACACUCCUGAAUGUAUAGACAUGGGAACCACCUUCAGCAUCAAAAAAGGAAACGUUCUGCAUGCCCAUAUCCAGAAAAAUCCCCACUCGCUGUAACUUGCGGUCUACGAAGAGGAAAGUCAGCGGCACCAUGCUGGCAGAGAGGCGACCUCCAUCCCUCAAACUCACAGUCCAGAAUCCAAGCUCUGUGGUCAGAUGGAUCCUCCCUUUGUGGUAAACAGAUUCUCUGCAGACUCCCAGGUCCUAUUCUGCGCUUGUUCCCACGUCCACCUCCCAGUAGUGGCAGCCACAGGUAAAGCGAGGGGAGCCCAGGACACAAAUGGACACGUCAAAUCUCUCGGCAAGGUCUUGCCGAUUCUGUGUGAUGCGCCCACUUCAGACGCUCCUGAGGUCGUCAGAAAUGAGGAGGAAGUUGUUGGCUGUGUCGGCAUCCAAGGUCGUAUCCACUGUGAAAAGGAAAACAAGUUGAUCAGCAAAUGGACAGAAGCCAACCCCAUGCCUCUCCUCUACUUCAAAGGCCCAAAUAUCUCUUGACUUUGGUUUCUUUAAUUCUCUUCUUCCCCCAAAAUCAAAACUUUUCAUGAGGCAACUUCCCUGACUAGUUCAAAUUCUCGUAGCUAUGCUUUGUGGCAAUACCCAACUCUUAUUCACAGUAGCAAUUAUUUUACUUUACGUCACGUGUUUGCUUCAUUGGCCUUUUCUUCAUUUAGAGUGGAGGGUCUCUGAAGGCAGACACCAUGCCCCCCUUUCUACCACCGUGAUGUGUGAACAAGUAAAUGAUAAUUAAGACAA